rnacentral:rRNA from 1 species
GAUGAACGCUGGCGGCGUGCCUAAUACAUGCAAGUCGAGCGAACGGACGAGAAGCUUGCUUCUCUGAUGUUAGCGGCGGACGGGUGAGUAACACGUGGAUAACCUACCUAUAAGACUGGGAUAACUUCGGGAAACCGGAGCUAAUACCGGAUAAUAUUUUGAACCGCAUGGUUCAAAAGUGAAAGACGGUCUUGCUGUCACUAAUAGAUGGAUCCGCGCUGCAUUAGCUAGUUGGUAAGGUAACGGCUUACCAAGGCAACGAUGCAUAGCCGACCUGAGAGGGUGAUCGGCCACACUGGAACUGAGACACGGUCCAGACUCCUACGGGAGGCAGCAGUAGGGAAUCUUCCGCAAUGGGCGAAAGCCUGACGGAGCAACGCCGCGUGAGUGAUGAAGGUCUUCGGAUCGUAAAACUCUGUUAUUAGGGAAGAACAUCUGUGUAAGUAACUGUGCACAUCUUGACGGUACCUAAUCAGAAAGCCCCGGCUAACUACGUG